AACGAACGCUGGCGGCGUGCCUAACACAUGCAAGUCGAGCGAGAAAUCCCGCUUCGGUGGGAGAGUAAAGCGGCGCACGGGUGAGUAACACGUGGGUAAUCUACCCCCGAGUUUGGGAUAACCCCGCGAAAGCGGGGCUAAUACCUGAUAAGACCACAGUUACCUCGGUAGCAGUGGUAAAAGGUGGCCUCUCCAUGGAAGCUAUCGCUUGGGGAAGGGUCCGCGUCCUAUCAGCUUGUUGGUAGGGUAAUGGCCUACCAAGGCUCAGACGGGUAGCUGGUCAGAGAGGACGAUCAGCCACACUGGGACUGAGAUACGGCCCAGACUCCUACGGGAGGCAGCAGUGGGGAAUAUUGCGCAAUGGGGGAAACCCUGACGCAGCGACGCCGCGUGGGUGAUGAAGGCUUUCGGGUUGUAAAGCCCUGUCAGGUGGGAAGAAAUUCCCUAUGGUUAAUACCCAUAGGGAUUGACGGUACCACUGGAGGAAGCACCGGCUAACUCCGUGCCAGCAGCCGCGGUAAUACGGAGGGUGCGAGCGUUGUUCGGAAUUACUGGGCGUAAAGCGGGUGUAGGCGGUCGUGCAAGUCGAAUGUGAAAGCCCUCGGCUCAACCGAGGAAGUGCAUCCGAAACUGCUCGACUUGAGUAUGAGAGAGGAAGGCGGAAUUCCCGGUGUAGCGGUGACAUGCGUAGAUAUCGGGAGGAACACCGGUGGCGAAGGCGGCCUUCUGGCUCAAUACUGACGCUGAGACCCGAAAGCGUGGGGAGCAAACAGGAUUAGAUACCCUGGUAGUCCACGCCGUAAACGUUGGGUACUAGGUGUGGGGGGUUUUAUACCUUCCGUGCCGGAGCUAACGCAUUAAGUACCCCGCCUGGGGAGUACGGCCGCAAGGCUA
rnacentral:rRNA from 1 species